AGAAAAACACACCCUGGAGCGUCGCUGGGCCAAAACCUCGGGUCCGGGGAGCAUCUUAGCGGUUUGAGGUUCUAGAAAGCGUUUAACGAUUUAAGAGGAACACCUGCGAGUGAAGACAGGUGUCAGCGGACUCUUGGAAGAGAGGAGGGAUUCCCCUUAGGCAGUUUGCUGACAGUGUUUUAGGUGGGGAAGAAAAGUGAUGAAUGGAAUGCCGUAAAAGCUUAUUGCACAGAGGAGGGGAGGCUGGAGUGGAAUGAGAGAAUGACAAAUUUGGAGGCGACAAUAAUUGAACAAGAGAAAUCUAUGAAAACACCGGAAACCUGGCACGAGGCCUUAAAAGCUUCUAAGCAGGCUUGAACUACCACACGAGGUUUUGAAGCAUAUGUGUCAGAACUUUUGGGUGGGCGGGAAAGAUAAGGAAUGUUAUGGGAGAUUCUCUUCUUAGAAGCUAUCCUACUUAAUGUUUCGUGUCCUCCUGUGAUUUUUUCCUGUUUAAUUCUCCUAACAAAUGCAUUAGGUUUGUGACAGGCAAGCAAGUCCUCAGAAUAAUUAUACAUACAGUUGAAAAGAUUAUCUUUCCACAUUUGAAAUUCUGUGACACACUCUUUAUUGAACUCAUUAAGACUUAAUCGUAGCCAGUUCUGUAUCUCAUUUAUCCAUCUUAGAGCAUGACAGUUCCUCCUGGGAUAUCAAAGAACAGAACUUUACUUCCGGGACGGCGCUAAUCCAAGGCUUGACAGGUCCCAGCAGGUGACAGGUCCCAUCUAGUGAUAGUUAGAAUUUAACUUGCACAAGAUUAACUAGAGUUCAGGCCAGAACAGCUGGAAGAAGCAGCUUCCAAAUCUUAUACAUUUGCCCUCUUGCUUUUUUCUCAAUAUCAGUUGAGGACAAAGUAAGGAGAAAGCUUUUCUUCUACAGUGUAAUAAAGCUCCUAUUCAGAGUGCCCACCAUCCAUACUCUGGAGGCUAAAGACAGUCAUUCCCAAGUGGCAGUCUUGUGGCAUUUGGCAUUUAGGGCUACUUAGUCUGGACUUAAGGGCGCCUACUCAUUGGAUUUAAGUUUACAGUUCUUAUGGACACCCAUGGAAUGCUAGCUUGUCACAUAAAACCUUAACAAUAUCAAACAUCACUUGCCUUUUAGAAUCAUUCGCAAGAGUAUGUGGCUUAUGAAUAAGUCAUUUUGAUAUAAGAUGGAAGCAGUUGUAUCAGUGAUUCUGUCUAAAAGGAAUUAAAAAGCAAAUUUUCAUCAGGAGCAAGCAUGUUUGUAAGACAAAUGUGCACAGAGACUAACAAUUUCAGGAGUUACUUUUGCCCUAUGGCAAGAUUGUUCUCCAUACUUAAUUAUGGUACAGUAUCAUAUCCUGAACCCUGUGUCCUGGUCUAUUUGAUGAGCUGUCUCCCUUAUGAAUUUUUAAAUAACGAGGUCGUGGUUCACAAAUAUGAUCAUAAAUCCAUUUAAGGCAAAGAUGAACUCCAAAGAAUAUUAGACUUGUACAAACUUAGUACUUGACAGGGCUUUGGAAAUUAAACUCUAACUCCUUGUUGUACAGAUAAAGAAACUGAAGCUUAAGUGAUGUGCUCAGAAUUACUUGGUUGGGGACAAAUCUUGGGCUAGGACCCAAGGUUGCUAAUUCAUAUAAUUCUGGGAAAAAUGCUUCCUCUUCCUGCUGCCUUCUCCUCCUCACCCCAAAAGCAAUGUAUUUUUUUUAAUUAAGAUUAAUUUUAGGAUUCACUUCCAUUGAAGACCAAUCAUGAGGACUUCAGUUCUGAUACAGCAGGUGAUAUAGAUACUAUGAAAAUAAUUGAGUGUCAUCAAACAACUUUUGAUGUAGUCUCACUUUUAUCCAAACAAGAAAUGAAAAGCAAUAAAUUAUUAUAGCUAUGUU